UGUAACUCAUGCAGGGCAAGCUGUUGUGCGGAUGCGUGACUCGACUGCAGCGUUGAGAUGGAGGACACGUGCGCCACGGUGUCAUGCUUCACCAUCGUCCCCCUAGCCUGCUUGCAAGGCGCCGCGACCUCGAUGGUAAAGAAAAACUCAGAUAUAUCCUUGUACGUAUUUAUUAGGUUGGUCAAUUUGGGGAUUUAGGCUGAACAUUCAUAUUGAUUUGUUGUGGUCAGCGAUAGUUUCGUUUCACUUCUCAGCAGAUUCUUCAAUCUGAUCAGGAUGUGCAUGAAGUCUGCCCAUCAAUAUCAGAUAGUGGGAUUGAUGGGAUUGACGGUGCUGCUCUUGGAGGGGAUUCAUGACGCGAAUUCGUGCAGCUGGAGUAAUGCUUUUCAUUUAGCUGAAUGUAAUGCGAGCGACACUCAGAAACAUUGUGAAGAUGAUCCUGACAAAGUGAGGCAGGUGGAUGUUUUAGUUAGGAAUGUUUGCGGAUGGAUGUGAAAUGAGCUGUUCAGUACUCUCCUAUUUAGUUUCACCAUUUAGGAAUUUAUUUAUAUGGUAAGAAUUGUUAGAUUGGUUUGUGAUGAAAUGUUGCUUGGAAAUAAAUGCAUGAUAGGUUAGAGUGGGGGCCAAAAUGGUUACAAUGCUCUUGUAGGAUGAUGGAUUUUUCCAUGUAGUUUUGUAGCCUUCAUGGAAGUAAGAUUUUGUAGGCUUGUUUGGACAUUUUUGUUUGUUUCGGAAACCAGAGCAGUUCACUUUAUCCAUGUGUUUUUUCUUCUUCUCUGCACUCUACUCUUUGGGAUGAUCAAUAUGCAUUACUCUUUUUCAAAGUUUCUAUUUGGAACUAUUUUUUAUUAAACCACUGUAAGAAAAGUUUCACAAGAAACCUAAACUCUGUAACAGGUGGUCAUUAAAAAUUGUUUGCCAUGUGUAAUGAAUGUUUGCCACAAGUUAGAGAACAUAACUGGUCGUAGUUGUUUGUCAGUUCGUUUUGCUCAUGG
rnacentral:lncRNA from 1 species